CGGAGGGUGCGAGCGUUGUCCGGAAUCACUGGGCGUAAAGGGCGCGUAGGUGGCCGAGCAAGGUCGCGGUGAAAGCCCGGGGCUCAACCCCGGGUCGGCCGUGGCAACUACUGGGCUGGAGCACUGUAGGGGCGGGUGGAAUUCCGGGUGUAGCGGUGGAAUGCGUAGAGAUCCGGAAGAACACCGGUGGCGAAGGCGGCCCGCUGGGCAGUUGCUGACACUGAGGCGCGACAGCGUGGGGAGCAAACAGGAUUAGAUACCCUGGUAGUCCACGCCGUAAACGAUGGGCACUAGAUGCUUGGGGGAGCGACCCUCCGAGUGUCGGCGCUAACGCAUUAAGUGCCCCGCUGGGGAUACGGCCGCAAGGCUG
rnacentral:rRNA from 1 species